GGGUUCGAUCAUGGCUCAGAGUGAACGCUGGCGGCAGGCCUAACACAUGCAAGUCGAACGGUAGCACAGAGGAGCUUGCUCCUUGGGUGACGAGUGGCGGACGGGUGAGGAAUAUAUCGGAAUCUACCCAAUCGUGGGGGAUAACGUAGGGAAACUUACGCUAAUACCGCAUACGAUCUGAGGAUGAAAGCGGCGGACCGCAAGGCGUCGCGCGAUUGGAUGAGCCGAUAUCCGAUUAGCUAGUUGGUAAGGUAAAAGCUUACCAAGGCGACGAUCGGUAGCUGGUCUGAGAGGAUGAUCAGCCACACUGGAACUGAGACACGGUCCAGACUCCUACGGGAGGCAGCAGUGGGGAAUAUUGGACAAUGGGCGCAAGCCUGAUCCAGCCAUGCCGCGUGUGUGAAGAAGGCCUUCGGGUUGUAAAGCACUUUUGUUGGGAAAGAAAAGCGGCCGGUUAAUACCCGGUUGUUCUGACGGUACCCAAAGAAUAAGCACCGGCUAACUUCGUGCCAGCAGCCGCGGUAAUACGAAGGGUGCAAGCGUUACUCGGAAUUACUGGGCGUAAAGCGUGCGUAGGUGGUU
rnacentral:rRNA from 1 species